rnacentral:rRNA from 1 species
UUAAGCGACUAAGCGUACACGGUGGAUGCCCUGGCAGUCAGAGGCGAUGAAGGACGUGCUAAUCUGCGAUAAGCGUCGGUAAGGUGAUAUGAACCGUUAUAACCGGCGAUUUCCGAAUGGGGAAACCCAGUGUGUUUCGUCACACUAUCAUUAACUGAAUCCAUAGGUUAAUGAGGCGAACCGGGGGAACUGAAACAUCUAAGUACCCCGAGGAAAAGAAAUCAACCGAGAUUCCCCCAGUAGCGGCGAGCGAACGGGGAGGAGCCCAGAGCCUGAAUCAGUGUGUGUGUUAGUGGAAGCGUCUGGAAAGGCGCGCGAUACAGGGUGACAGCCCCGUACACAAAAAUGCACAUGCUGUGAGCUCGAUGAGUAGGGCGGGACACGUGGUAUCCUGUCUGAAUAUGGGGGGACCAUCCUCCAAGGCUAAAUACUCCUGACUGACCGAUAGUGAACCAGUACCGUGAGGGAAAGGCGAAAAGAACCCCGGCGAGGGGAGUGAAAAAGAACCUGAAACCGUGUACGUACAAGCAGUGGGAGCACAGAGCAAUCUGUGUGACUGCGUACCUUUUGUAUAAUGGGUCAGCGACUUAUAUUCUGUAGCAAGGUUAACCGAAUAGGGGAGCCGAAGGGAAACCGAGUCUUAACUGGGCGUUAAGUUGCAGGGUAUAGACCCGAAACCCGGUGAUCUAGCCAUGGGCAGGUUGAAGGUUGGGUAACACUAACUGGAGGACCGAACCGACUAAUGUUGAAAAAUUAGCGGAUGACUUGUGGCUGGGGGUGAAAGGCCAAUCAAACCGGGAGAUAGCUGGUUCUCCCCGAAAGCUAUUUAGGUAGCGCCUCGUGAAUUCAUCUCCGGGGGUAGAGCACUGUUUCGGCAAGGGGGUCAUCCCGACUUACCAACCCGAUGCAAACUGCGAAUACCGGAGAAUGUUAUCACGGGAGACACACGGCGGGUGCUAACGUCCGUCGUGAAGAGGGAAACAACCCAGACCGCCAGCUAAGGUCCCAAAGUCAUGGUUAAGUGGGAAACGAUGUGGGAAGGCCCAGACAGCCAGGAUGUUGGCUUAGAAGCAGCCAUCAUUUAAAGAAAGCGUAAUAGCUCACUGGUCGAGUCGGCCUGCGCGGAAGAUGUAACGGGGCUAAACCAUGCACCGAAGCUGCGGCAGCGACACUGUGUGUUGUUGGGUAGGGGAGCGUUCUGUAAGCCUGUGAAGGUGUGCUGUGAGGCAUGCUGGAGGUAUCAGAAGUGCGAAUGCUGACAUAAGUAACGAUAAAGCGGGUGAAAAGCCCGCUCGCCGGAAGACCAAGGGUUCCUGUCCAACGUUAAUCGGGGCAGGGUGAGUCGACCCCUAAGGCGAGGCCGAAAGGCGUAGUCGAUGGGAAACAGGUUAAUAUUCCUGUACUUGGUGUUACUGCGAAGGGGGGACGGAGAAGGCUAUGUUGGCCGGGCGACGGUUGUCCCGGUUUAAGCGUGUAGGCUGGUUUUCCAGGCAAAUCCGGAAAAUCAAGGCUGAGGCGUGAUGACGAGGCACUACGGUGCUGAAGCAACAAAUGCCCUGCUUCCAGGAAAAGCCUCUAAGCAUCAGGUAACAUCAAAUCGUACCCCAAACCGACACAGGUGGUCAGGUAGAGAAUACCAAGGCGCUUGAGAGAACUCGGGUGAAGGAACUAGGCAAAAUGGUGCCGUAACUUCGGGAGAAGGCACGCUGAUAUGUAGGUGAAGUCCCUCGCGGAUGGAGCUGAAAUCAGUCGAAGAUACCAGCUGGCUGCAACUGUUUAUUAAAAACACAGCACUGUGCAAACACGAAAGUGGACGUAUACGGUGUGACGCCUGCCCGGUGCCGGAAGGUUAAUUGAUGGGGUCAGCGCAAGCGAAGCUCUUGAUCGAAGCCCCGGUAAACGGCGGCCGUAACUAUAACGGUCCUAAGGUAGCGAAAUUCCUUGUCGGGUAAGUUCCGACCUGCACGAAUGGCGUAAUGAUGGCCAGGCUGUCUCCACCCGAGACUCAGUGAAAUUGAACUCGCUGUGAAGAUGCAGUGUACCCGCGGCAAGACGGAAAGACCCCGUGAACCUUUACUAUAGCUUGACACUGAACAUUGAGCCUUGAUGUGUAGGAUAGGUGGGAGGCUUUGAAGUGUGGACGCCAGUCUGCAUGGAGCCGACCUUGAAAUACCACCCUUUAAUGUUUGAUGUUCUAACGUGGACCCGUGAUCCGGGUUGCGGACAGUGUCUGGUGGGUAGUUUGACUGGGGCGGUCUCCUCCUAAAGAGUAACGGAGGAGCACGAAGGUUGGCUAAUCCUGGUCGGACAUCAGGAGGUUAGUGCAAUGGCAUAAGCCAGCUUGACUGCGAGCGUGACGGCGCGAGCAGGUGCGAAAGCAGGUCAUAGUGAUCCGGUGGUUCUGAAUGGAAGGGCCAUCGCUCAACGGAUAAAAGGUACUCCGGGGAUAACAGGCUGAUACCGCCCAAGAGUUCAUAUCGACGGCGGUGUUUGGCACCUCGAUGUCGGCUCAUCACAUCCUGGGGCUGAAGUAGGUCCCAAGGGUAUGGCUGUUCGCCAUUUAAAGUGGUACGCGAGCUGGGUUUAGAACGUCGUGAGACAGUUCGGUCCCUAUCUGCCGUGGGCGCUGGAGAACUGAGGGGGGCUGCUCCUAGUACGAGAGGACCGGAGUGGACGCAUCACUGGUGUUCGGGUUGUCAUGCCAAUGGCACUGCCCGGUAGCUAAAUGCGGAAGAGAUAAGUGCUGAAAGCAUCUAAGCACGAAACUUGCCCCGAGAUGAGUUCUCCCUGACCCUUUAAGGGUCCUGAAGGAACGUUGAAGACGACGACGUUGAUAGGCCGGGUGUGUAAGCGCAGCGAUGCGUUGAGCUAACCGGUACUAAUGAACCGUGAGGCUUAACCUU